rnacentral:rRNA from 1 species
GGAAUCUUCCACAAUGGGCGAAAGCCUGAUGGAGCGACGCCGCGUGAGUGAAGAAGGGCUUCGGCUCGUAAAGCUCUUUUCUUGAGGACGAAUGACCUGUUAGACAGGUAGAGACGGUACUUAGGGAAUAAGCCACGGCUAACUACGUGCCAGCAGCCGCGGUAAUACGUAGGUGGCAAGCGUAUCCGGAUUUAUUGGGCGUAAAGCGAGCGCAGGCGGUUUGAUAAGUCUGAUGUGAAAGCCUUUGGCUUAACCAAAGAAGUGCAUCGGAAACUGUCAGACUUGAGUGCAGAAGAGGACAGUGGAACUCCAUGUGUAGCGGUGGAAUGCGUAGAUAUAUGGAAGAACACCAGUGGCGAAGGCGGCUGUCUGGUCUGCAACUGACGCUGAGGCUCGAAAGCAUGGGUAGCGAACA